rnacentral:lncRNA from 1 species
UGAAGUAUGUCAGAUCAUGUGACUCCUCUGUUUCAAAGCCCCCAACACCUACCUGUCUCCCUUAAAGGCCAGUAUCUGUGCAACGGUUCAGAGUCUUGCACAUCUCUGUCCCUCCUCACUGUUCUGAAUUGACGCCCUAUCACUCUUCCCUCAUACAUUCUGCCCCUGCCAUGCUGACUUCACUGCUGUUUCUCAAUCUUCCCAGGCUCAUUCCCACCUCUGGGUCUUUGCUCUUCCUCUUUCCUUUGCCAGGAACCAUCUUAUUCCAGGAAUAUCACUGGCUUGCUGCCUCAUGUCCUUCACGUUUUGUAAGAAAUAGAUCUUCCGGAACCACCUUGUUUAAGAAAGUACUCUCCGGUGUCUAUUCCCUUGCUCUAUCUACUUUUUCUUCAGUAUCACUUAUCACUUGGCAUAUAUUUAUUUGCAUACUGUCUGCCUCUUCUUCAAAGACAUAAAUUCCAGCAAGGCGGGGAUGCAUUAGGUUUAUUCUUAUAGCCAGUGUCAUUGUUAUUUCUCCCUUUCUUUCUGUUAAUCUCAUCUCUGCCUGUCUUUCAGGUAUUCGGUGCUCACACAUCAAUCCCUGGCUUCCCAGCGUCCCUCAGCAAACAUCCCCUUCUCCUGAUGCAAAAUAACCUCUCUCCUAUUGUUAUUAUCCCACAUGGUUCUAUUACUCAAUGCAGAGUGGCAUUGAGCAAAUUCACUCCAAGGUGAAUUUCAGAAAACUAUCCUUCCAAGAUUGUUGCCAUUGCUGUGAAGUGUUUCCACCUGCUCUGGGGCCAUGGAAGAGAAAACUUCCAAGUAUCUUUAUGUUAACUGAUUUUUCCAGUGGACCACAAUUCACAGAAAAACCUGCUUAUGGGCCAAGCCUGGAGAACAAUCAAUGGGACAAGGAGGAGAAAACUUACCUCUAUUUAAUCAGCUCCACGUUUCUGACAAAUGUGAAGAGCAACUGUGAAUACAGCUCGGCUGCUUAAUUCCAGACUGUUUUAUGUUGGAGCAUCACUCUUCUCUCCAAAACUUUGUCAAGAUCGUUUUACCAAGAGCACUUGCUGGAAAGCCUUUUUGGAGAAAAAGGCAAAUAACGUAUUCUGUGAGGCAGUAAAGCAGCCACUUAGAGACACAGUACUUUGAUUAUACUCUUUGAAAGACAGAGAGAAUUAGAUUUUAACAACUAUUCCAAAUCUCUCACCUAAGGGGUAGAAUUAUAAAAGAGCUCCGCAUCACCCUUGUUAUUACUACAUAUUUGGACAAGGGAAAAAUUCAAAAUAAAGUUAUUUAUAAAAAAUGCUCAUUUUUUCAUAAGGCUGUGCAAUAUGUGAUUUGUUAGCACAAAUUGGAGUGUGGAGGGCAUGUGUGUUGAAUUUGGCCUGAGGGAUCCUCCUAAUGGUUUAGGCAACAGAUGAGUGUCCCUACAUUCACUAGUUUCCUUAAAUAAACCACGGAAGCUUUAGAGGAAAGGUUUCUUUUAUUUUUUCUUUCCAAUUUGUAUUUUAGGGUCAGGGGUUCUUGU